AUGAACGCUGGCGGCGUGCUUAACCCAUGCCAGUCGAACGGAAAGGCCCAAGCUUGCUUGGGUACUCGAGUGGCGAACGGGUGAGUAACACGUGGGUGAUCUGCCCUGCACUUCGGGAUAAGCCUGGGAAACUGGGUCUAAUACCGGAUAGGACCACAUUUUGGAUGGUGUGGUGGAAAGUUUUUCGGUGUGGGAUGAGCUCGCGGCCUAUCAGCUUGUUGGUGGGGUAAUGGCCUACCAAGGCGUCGACGGGUAGCCGGCCUGAGAGGGUGUACGGCCACAUUGGGACUGAGAUACGGCCCAGACUCCUACGGGAGGCAGCAGUGGGGAAUAUUGCACAAUGGGCGCAAGCCUGAUGCAGCGACGCCGCGUGGGGGAUGACGGCCUUCGGGUUGUAAACUCCUUUCGCUAGGGACGAAGCGCAAGUGACGGUACCUGGAGAAGAAGCACCGGCUAACUACGUG
rnacentral:rRNA from 1 species